CCUUCUCAAGCGUGAGCUUGGUGUUGGCGGAGGUCUUUCGAGGCCCCGCUGAAAUACGCAGGGGGUGCGUGGAAACGAGCUUUCUCUCUACUAAUGUCUAGUUCUGCCAACUCAUUGGACGAGCGUCUGCUGGCUCCACAAUCCCACCCCCAUUACCCCAAC
rnacentral:misc_RNA from 1 species